rnacentral:rRNA from 1 species
CACGUAGUUAGCCGUGGCUUUCUGGUUAGGUACCGUCAAGGUACCGCCCUAUUCGAACGGUACUUGUUCUUCCCUAACAACAGAGCUUUACGAUCCGAAAACCUUCAUCACUCACGCGGCGUUGCUCCGUCAGACUUUCGUCCAUUGCGGAAGAUUCCCUA